rnacentral:tRNA from 1 species
GAAUUGAUGGUUCAGUGGUAAAAUUCUUACUUUCUAUGUGGGAGACCCAGGUUUGAUUCCUGGCCAAUGCA